AGCUUUGCACAGGGGCAGUAUGGUAGUGAAUGAGGUUAAUCCGAGGCAUGAUUUUUGCUAAUUGAAAACGUUUAUUUUACUGAGUGCCCUGUCAUUUAUCUCCAGGGUGACUCUCCACAUUCUCCUGGACAUUUAUCUCUAAUUCCUGGAGACUCCAGGUCGAUCCUGGAG
rnacentral:snRNA from 1 species